rnacentral:rRNA from 1 species
GGCCUUUUGUAAAAAAUUUAAGGUCUAACCUGCCCACUGAAUAUUGUUUAAAUGGCCGCGGUAUUUUGACCGUGCUAAGGUAGCAUAAUCAUUAGUUUUUUAAUUGAAAGCUGGAAUGAAGGGUUGAAUGAAAAAAUAACUGUCUCUUAUAAGUUUUAUUAGAAUUUUAUUUUUAAGUUAAAAAGCUUAAAUAAUUUUAAAAGACGAGAAGACCCUAUAGAGUUUAAUAUAAUAAUUUUUAUAAAAAUAAAGUAUUUAGUUUUUAUAAAAGUUUUUAUAUUUAAUUGGGGUGAUUAAAAAAUUUAAUAAACUUUUUUUAUAUUAUUAUAUUAAUUAAUAAGUAUUUGAUCCAAAUUUUUUGAUUAUAAGAAUAAAUUACCUUAGGGAUAACAGCGUAAUUUUAUUGGAGAGUUCUAAUCGAUAAUAAAGAUUGCGACCUCGAUGUUGGAUUAAAAUUUAUUUUUGGUGUAGAGGCUAAAAAAUUUAAGUCUGUUCGACUUUUAAAAUUUUACA